UUUUCUUCAGAACUUGUAAAACUCUGAUUUUUAACCAAGGUGUCAUGAAUUGUUAAUUAAUUGGUGGAUCUGUUGUAUUCUCUGGAACCACUCACCUUCGUGCAGGUUAUGCUAACUCGGUCUUGUCAAGUGGUUAAAUCGGAUGAAAUCCGACGGCACAUCGAGUUAACUUGAUUAAGGCAUGAGGAUCGCAUGUCAUGCGACUUAACCGUGCUUUAGUUAAGUUAAUCCGAGGUGGUUCCGCCACAGUCGUGCUCCUCUCCUCAUCGAAGAUCAAAACCGUCGGUGCCAUCCCAAC
rnacentral:lncRNA from 1 species